CAGGUUUGUCUAUCUCGAAAUCUGUUUCGUCGUUCUACUGAAUUUUAAAGAUAUUGCCCUUGGUAUAUCCACAUUUUAAUCCUAGUCUAGCUGUCUAGGUAAGUUUGACAAACUAUUUGGUAGAAUGUUUGGAAUAACUUCUCCCCAUGACACACUUUCUUGGGUCUAGAGAUGCUUUGGAAACUGCUGGAGCAUCUGUGGAUUUGAGAAGGCAUUACUUUAGACUGGCCAUGACAUCAUAGCAGCUAGAAUUAUGUUGACAGACCCAGCCUAACGAAUCUAGAUAGGUGCCAGUGAACCACUAUCAAGCUUUAGCUUGAGAGAUUUGAGAGUAAAUGCUCAAUAAAAUGGGUUCACCCCUUUGCUUUCUUACACUUCGAUGGCAAAUGUUUUACGACAAUACCUGUAGGCAGUUUCUUGACAUGUAUAAACUUUGAUAGCUAUGUCUGUGUCUGAGAGUAAAUGCUCAAUAAAAUGUGUUCACCCCUUUGCUUUCUUACACUUCGAUUGCAAAUGUUUUAUGACAAUACCUCUGGGCAGUUUCUUCACAUGUAUUAUGUAUAGGGUGAUGAUGUUGAUAGCUACGUCUGUGUAUGUUUUGCGGACUUGUAUCUAUGCAUAUUAGUUCAGGUUGCCUGUGGAGAAUACUAAGUUUUCUUCACAAAUUCAAGCCGCAGCCGCUUCCUUACGGAAGAUCCUUUGCACUGGGCAUAUCCGUUUCUCUCUAAGCACUGAUUGGCCUAGUGAUUUUGUUGAUGCCAACAAUAACGUUUUUUCUAUUCUCUGUUCAGAAUUGUUGUAUAAUUAUAUGUAUAGCAUUAUAAUGAAAAGUUGGAUUAUAGAAAUGCACACAUAUCACAUACCAUACUUGUGUGUGCUUUAUGGUGACAUGUACGUUUGUUUCAUAAGUAACUUUCAUCUGUCUGAUUGCUUCCUCUCAAAUUUUUUGAAAAGGGGAACACACGCACUUGGGAAAUAGAGUUUCUAAACGCUUCCCUUGCAAUUAAAUAUGGCUUGUACUUGUAAUUUUGCAUACAUAUUUU
rnacentral:lncRNA from 1 species